rnacentral:lncRNA from 1 species
CCGCAGCCUCCCCCAGGAGGAGAGGGCCCUGGGCAAGGUCAUGACGCUGCCCAGGGACAGCUCGGGGCACCUGCUUCCUUGAAGGGCGUGCUGACCUUGUCCUUCCCACUCCCRAGGCCCAGGACGUCUGAGUGGGAGGGAGGGUCCAGGCCUCUGUGCCCUGGAGUCCCCUGUGUGUGACCACGUGACUGGGAGUUGUUGACUUUGUGUGUGGAUUUGUGCUCGGCAAACACCGGGAGUUCUGUCCAGAGCCCCUGGGCCCCACCUGCCCAGGAGGCCUGAGCUGGUGGCUGGGCGCAGGCUCCCGUCCUCCAGACCUGGCCUCUCGGGUGAGCGACAUCGGCUGAGCCGGGGCCUCCGGUCCUCCCAGUGACAGAGAACCCAGAGCUCGGUGCCCCUGAGAGUGACGUUGUGCCAAGUGCUGGACAGCCGGGGGCUGCUCUCUGUGGACAGACGCUCCCCACGGCGCAGAGCAGAGACCCUGGCCCUCGCAGAAGGCCUGAGUGGGGCCGGCACUCGUCCUGCAUCUGAAGAAGAAUCCCGGGACUGGCAUCAGGUGGCCAAGGACGGGUCCCCGAGGCCACAGCCCUAGAAGGCCCCUUCGCCUCUCCGAGGCUCCUCAGACCGCUUCCUGGUGAGCGUGCGGCUGCACUGGACCACGCCAGACCCCCUGGUCCUGCUGUGGCCCCUGAGCUGGGGGGGGGGGCUCCGCUGUGAGGCCAGUGCUGCUCCUGGGCAGGCCCAUGAGGGUGCUGUCCCUGCG